rnacentral:lncRNA from 1 species
UCUUUUAGUAUUGAUAAAAAAACAAACAAUUUCUCUCGCCUUGAUUAGCGGCUAUCUCUUCCUCCAAAUCUAAAAUCUUAAAAGCUUUUUUUUUUCUUUUUUCACGGGCGACCACUAGUGAGCUCUCAUCGGUGGUCAUCUAUUUUUCUUUUCUUUUUUUUUUUUUUACUAAUAAUCCUUAGAUUUGUAAUGAAUCUGAGUUAUCGUCACCCAAAUAUUGAGAUUUAUUGUUGUUCAUAUCUUAGAAUUUUAUUUUCAGAUUUAGUAUGAGUUGUUGUAUUACCAUAUGGUGAUUUUGUUUAACCUUUUUUAUUAUUUUGAUAAUUAUGCAGGAAGAAGUGCAGAUCUUCUUUCCAAUAGAAGGAAGAAAUUUGAAGGUAAUCAGAUUGAACACAUAGAAUGAAAUUUCUAGUUUGAUUUCUUCUCAAAAAAAUAUUAUAAUCACUAUUUUAAGCAUUAUUUAUAAUUUUGAUCUUUUUCAUUUCUUUUUACUUUUUGCUACAGUUAUGCAUG